AGCCCUGAGUGCAGUUCGUAAAAAUAAGCCAUAAAUAUUCUCUUGAUUACGUAUAUCUUUUCCUCUCGCGACCCGCUUUAUUUACGAGCAAAACCUCGCUCUUUCCCUCUGUAUCUUACCUCUCAUGUUAUCGCUCACUCCAGUUACCGAACAAUUCCAACAAAGAUCGCUAUAGCUGAGUCUUCGCUUCUUUCACUGCGAUCUCAUCUUCAUCUUUAGGGUUUCAUUCUCCGGUUUCAUCCGCAAACAUGCCUCUGAGACUCGAAAUAAAGAGAAAACUUGCUCAAAGAUCAGAAAGAGUAAAAUCCGUGGAUCUGCAUCCGACCGAACCAUGGAUUCUGGCAAGUUUGUAUUCGGGCACCGUAUGUAUCUGGAACUACCAGUCUCAGACUAUGGCAAAGUCGUUUGAGGUUACUGAGUUACCAGUUAGAUCCGCGAAGUUUAUAGCACGCAAACAGUGGGUUGUUGCUGGUGCUGAUGACAUGUAUAUUCGUGUUUACAAUUAUAAUACAAUGGAUAAGGUUAAAGUAUUUGAAGCGCACACGGAUUAUAUUAGGUGUGUGGCUGUUCAUCCUACCCUUCCAUAUGUUCUAUCAUCUUCUGAUGACAUGCUUAUUAAGCUUUGGGACUGGGAGAAGGGUUGGGUGUGUACUCAAAUUUUUGAGGGUCAUUCCCAUUAUGUGAUGCAAGUGACAUUUAAUCCAAAAGACACAAAUACAUUUGCAAGUGCAUCUCUUGAUCGCACUAUAAAGAUUUGGAAUCUUGGCUCUCCUGACCCAAAUUUUACAUUGGAUGCCCAUUUGAAAGGGGUAAAUUGUGUUGAUUACUUCACAGGCGGUGAUAAACCUUAUCUGAUCACCGGUUCUGAUGAUCACACUGCUAAGGUGUGGGACUAUCAAACCAAAAGCUGUGUGCAGACACUAGAAGGCCACACCCACAAUGUCUCUGCUGUGUGUUUCCAUCCUGAACUUCCCAUAAUAAUGACAGGUUCUGAGGACGGUACUGUUCGUAUAUGGCAUGCAACCACAUAUAGGCUUGAGAACACAUUGAAUUAUGGUCUUGAAAGAGUUUGGGCUAUUGGAUAUAUGAAGGGUUCACGCCGGAUUGUCAUUGGUUAUGAUGAAGGCACCAUUAUGGUAAAAAUUGGAAGAGAAGAACCUGUAGCUAGUAUGGACAGUGGUGGAAAAAUUAUAUGGGCUAAGCAUAAUGAAAUUCAGACUGUUAACAUUAAGAGUGUGGGAGCAGAUUAUGAGAUUAAUGAUGGAGAAAGAUUGCCUUUGGCAGUUAAAGAGUUGGGGAACUGUGAUCUUUAUCCACAAAGUUUAAAGCAUAAUCCAAAUGGGAGGUUUGUUGUUGUUUGCGGAGAUGGUGAAUACAUCGUAUAUACAGCUUUGGCAUGGAGAAAUAGGUCAUUUGGUUCAGCAUUGGAAUUUGUUUGGUCUUCAGAUGGGGAAUAUGCUGUUAGAGAGAGUACGUCAAAGAUUAAAAUAUUUAGUAAAAAUUUCCAGGAAAAGAGGAGUAUCCGACCGACAUUUUCUGCUGAGCAUGUAUUUGGGGGAACUUUACUGGCAAUGUGCUCAAAUGAUUUUAUUUGUUUUUACGAUUGGGCUGAAUGCAGGCUGAUACGACGGAUUGAUGUCAAUGUCAAAAACCUCUACUGGGCUGAUAGUGGUGAUUUAGUGGCAAUUGCUAGUGAUACAUCCUUUUACAUACUAAAGUACAAUCGGGAUGUAGUUUCUACACAUUUAGAUAGUGGAAGACCUGUAGAUGAGCAAGGCGUUGAAGAUGCCUUUGAGCUUCUUUAUGAAAUAAAUGAACGAGUCAGGACUGGAAUAUGGGUAGGGGAUUGUUUCAUUUACAACAACUCCUCCUGGCGGCUAAAUUAUUGUGUUGGUGGUGAGGUAACCACGAUGUUUCACUUGGACCGGCCUAUGUACUUGCUGGGAUAUCUAGCUAAUCAAAGUAGGGUGUACCUCAUUGACAAAGAGUUCAAUGUUAUGGGAUACACCUUACUUCUCAGCUUGAUUGAGUACAAGACUUUGGUGAUGCGUGGUGACCUGGAACGGGCCAAUGAGAUUUUACCUUCUAUUCCCAAGGAGCAUCAAAAUAGUGUGGCUCGUUUCUUGGAAUCGCGAGGAAUGAUAGAGGAAGCGCUAGAAGUAGCUACCGACCCUGACUACAGAUUUGAGCUAGCCAUACAGCUGGGUAAAUUAGACAUUGCAAAGGAAAUUGCCACCGGAGCGCACAGCGAGUCCAAAUGGAAGCAGUUGGGUGAAUUAGCUAUGUCCACUGGAAUGUUAGAGAUGGCUGAAGAAUGUUUAAAGCAUGCAAUGGAUCUUAGUGGUUUGUUGCUGCUCUAUUCUUCUUUAGGAGAUGCAGAAGGAAUAUCUAAACUUGCAUCUCUUGCUAAAGAACAUGGAAAAAACAAUGUUGCAUUCCUUUGUCUAUUCACGUUGGGAAAAGUGGAGGAGUGCUUGCAGCUGUUAGUUGACAGCAACCGGAUACCUGAGGCGGCCUUGAUGGCAAGGUCUUAUCUUCCAAGCAAGGUUUCUGAGAUAGUUGCAACUUGGCGAAAGGACCUCAAUAAGGUUAACCGGAAAGCUGCAGAAUCUUUGGCUGAUCCUGAAGAGUAUCCUAAUUUGUUUGAGGACUGGCAAGUUGCUCUUGCCGUUGAAUCAAAAGUUGCAGAGACCAGGGGUACUUAUCCUCCAGCAAGGGAAUAUGUAAACUAUGCUGAUAGAUCAAAUGUCAACCUUGUGGAGGCUUUUAGAAACAUUCGAGUGGAGGAAGAGGAACCACUUGAAAAUGGAAGUGUGGAUCAUGAGGUUGAGAAACACAAUGGAGAAGAAGAGGUGCAAGAUGAGGGGCAAGAGGAGGCUGUUGUGGUGGAUGCUGACUCUACAGAUGGUGCAGUACUCGUUAACGGUAGCGAGGCUGACGAACAGUGGGGUACGGAUAAUGAAGGAAAUCCAUCAACCUAAAAGCAAUUGGUUUGGGCCAGCGUGAAAAUCCUAAUUUUGUCACUGUGCUUACACCAACUCGGUAGGUCCAGUCAAGACAAGUCGGUCCCAGCUAUAUUUGUCCUCUCCUUGAGGUUUCUUAUUGCGGGACCGGCUGUCCAAAUUUUGAUGUUGGUGUGAUUUUGUAGCGCAUGGAAUUUUUUAACGGGGCACACAGCACAGCCCCCCGAUCAGACAGCUUUCUUGCCCCUCCCCCUCCCCAUCUUGAUUACUCGUUUAACUGCUUGUAAUCUUUUUAGCAUAUAUUUUUAUAGGUCAAAUUUUCCCUUGAAAUUUUUAAAUGCCAUUGUGAAUGUAGAAUCAUUUAUAUCAAUUAAUGAGAGAUAAUUAUGGUUUCAAAUGCUCCCA